ACUCAGGCACGAUCUUUACCCUUUCAGGAUGUAAAGAACCGACCUGAAGUUUCAACCCUGAGGGA
ncrna:unclassified sequences L31-Corynebacteriaceae ribosomal protein leader